AGCAGCCGCGGUAAUUCCAGCUCCAAUAGCGUAUAUUAAAGUUGUUGCAGUUAAAAAGCUCGUAGUUGAAUUUCGGGACUAAUAUGUCGGUCGUACUUUGUACGUACUAGCAUUAUUGGUUUCUCCCUUCUGACGAACCACGAUGUCAUUAAUUUGGUGUCGCGGGAAAUCAGGACUGUUACUUUGAAAAAAUUAGAGUGUUUAAAGCAAGCUCGCGCUUGAAUACAUUAGCAUGGAAUAAUGAAAUAGGACGUUUGAUUCUAUUUUGUUGGUUUCUAGGAUCGACGUAAUGAUUAAUAGGGAUAGUUGGGGCAUUAGUAUUCAAUUGUCAGAGGUGAAAUUCUUGGAUUUAUUGAGGACUAACUACUGCGAAAGCAUUUGCAAGGAUGUUUCAUUAAUCAAGAACGAAAGUUAGGGAUCGAAGACGAUCAGAUACCGUCGUAGUCUUAACCAUAACUAUGCCGACUAGGAUCGGAUGAUUGUUAAUUUUUAAUGUACUC
rnacentral:rRNA from 1 species